GUAGGGUAAUCUACCUUCGGAUGGGGAAUAACAAUCGGAAACGGUUGCUAAUACCGCAUAAUGCAGCGGCACCUAAUGGUGACAGUUGUUAAAGCGGGGGAUCGAAAGACCUCGCGUCUGAAGAGGAGCCUGCGGCGGAUUAGCUAGUUGGUAAGGUAAUGGCUUACCAAGGCAACGAUCCGUAACCGGCCUGAGAGGGCGGUCGGUCACACUGACACUGACAUACGGGUCAG
rnacentral:rRNA from 1 species